rnacentral:rRNA from 1 species
UACGUAGGGCGCGAGCGUUGUCCGGAUUUAUUGGGCGUAAAGAGCUCGUAGGCGGCUCGUCGCGUCGGCUGUGAAAACCUGGGGCUCAACCCCGGGCCUGCAGCCGAUACGGGCGAGCUAGAAUUCGGUAGGGGAGACUGGAAUUCCUGGUGUAGCGGUGAAAUGCGCAGAUAUCAGGAGGAACACCGGUGGCGAAGGCGGGUCUCUGGGCCGAUAUUGACGCUGAGGAGCGAAAGCGUGGGGAGCGAACAGG